rnacentral:lncRNA from 1 species
UGUAAACUACAGGUAGAGGAAAAGGCAGGUAUUAACAACUAUAGUUCCCCCUAAAUGAUCAAGACAACAUAAAAACUUAAAGAGUUCAGAGAGAAACAAGAGAGCAAAGUUAGAUUAGAUAUAAGUUAGGAUUUUACCUCCUGCCCCAUCUGGAGGUAAGUAUUACUAUGAGGAAGGGUAACAAAAAUAUCUAAUAUGUCAGUGGGGAAGGACCAGAAUAGAAGAUAAUUUUAUAUAUAUAUAUAUAUAUAUAUAUAUAUAUAUAUAUAUGUAAUGAUACAGGAAACUACAUUUGGCAAAACCUUGCAUCUAACACUAGAUCACAGUUGGCAGCAAUGCAAUAGCCAGUGACAUGUAUAAACCAUAUUCUUAAAAAGCCACUCAGAGUCCUACACAGACCAGUAUGAUGCAGAAAACCACUGAGGAUUUCCUUUGAGCCAGUGAGCUCAAAACAGCCUGAGAUUCAGGAGAACCCAGCAUGUAUAGAUAUAAUGACCAGAUGCCAAGAAAGCAGCAAUGACAUCAGCCUCAGAUGUGGCAGGGGCAGAGAGCACCAUUCAAGAUCAAGCCAGUCAUUAGCAAUGUCCUAGAAGGACAGAGGAUGACACAAAGAUGGUAUGCCUCCCCCUCACUACCAGGAAACAGACUUCUUUACUAAUAUCUUCUGUUGGGGUGGAGGGAACUAUGUGGAAAAACUGAACAUUUACACAAAGGACCAAGUAUUAGGAUUUGAAUUAAUCUGGAAUUAACUUAGCUAAACUCUAAGCUACUGACUUUAUCCUAAAUUGGCAAGAUAAUUCAGCAGGAUCAUUUUCUUCUACUCAGUAGAAACAAGAAGCUCUAUAGCUAAGAAAAGUUUAAUUACAGAGAAAUAAGGACAGUAUUGUCUUUUUUACAUUUAAAUUUGUAGUCUACAAAGUUUAUGCCUGCUAUACUUCCAAUUGGAUUUCCUGCUGUAUAAAGAGUAAAAUAUAAAGCUCUUACCUCCAUAAUCUGACCCUUAUCUGCUGCUCAAAAAAAAAAAAAAAAAAAAAAAUUCCAUUCUCCAC